rfam:Desulfovibrio mexicanus strain DSM 13116 genome assembly, contig: Ga0070557_107
CUUGGUGGUCUUGGAGGCGGGGGUACACCCGAUCCCAUUCCGAACUCGGAAGUUAAGCCCGCCAUCGCCGAUGAUACUGCGGUUCAAUCGUGGGAAAGUAGGUCGCCGCCAAGA